rnacentral:rRNA from 1 species
AUUGAACGCUGGCGGCAGGCCUAACACAUGCAAGUCGAGCGAGCGGCGGACGGGUGAGUAAUGUCUGGGAAACUGCCUGAUGGAGGGGGAUAACUACUGGAAACGGUAGCUAAUACCGCAUACCAUCAGAUGUGCCCAGAUGGGAUUAGCUAGUGGGUGGGGAAACGGCUCACCUAGGCGACGAUCCAUAGCUGGUCUGAGAGGAUGACCAGCCAAACUGGGACUGAGACACGGUCCAGACUCCGAAGGUAGGCAGCAGGGGGGAAGAUUGGACAAUGGGCGAAAGCCUGAUGCAGCCAUGCCGCGUGUGUGAAGGAGGCCUUCGGGUUGGAAAGCACUUGCAGCGGGGAGGCGUUACCCGCAGAAGAAGCACCGGCUAACUCCGUGCCAGCAGCCGCGGUAAUUC